rnacentral:rRNA from 1 species
UACAGAGACUGCAAGCGUUAUUCGGAUUCACUGGGCGUAAAGGGUGCGCAGGCGGUCGGGUGUGUCAGAUGUGAAAUCCCGAGGCUCAACCUCGGAACUGCGUCUGAAACUACUCGACUAGAGUACUGGAGAGGGUAACGGAAUUCACGGUGUAGCAGUGAAAUGCGUAGAUAUCGUGAGGAACACCAGAGGCGAAGGCGGUUACUUGGACAGUUACUGACGCUCAGGCACGAAAGCAUGGGGAGCAAAAGGG